AAGGGAGACCUAAUUCGGGUAUAAGACGAAAAAAAAGUAGUCGCUACCAAGAAUCAAUCCCAAAAGGUCGGAGCAAGGCGAAAUUGGCUUUCAAACUAGGUUCUGGGUUCAAACAAGACCUGAAUCAGGAACAAGGGCUAUUAGCUCAGGUGGUUAGAGCGCACCCCUGAUAAGGGUGAGGUCCCUGGUUCGAGUCCAGGAUGGCCCACCUGCACAGGUGGCAAAAACAAGAGAAGCGAGGAAUCAGCACCUUAUCUUACUCAUAUAGUAAGAGAGAAUGCUGGCUCUGAGUAAAGAGUCCAGAGGAACCUUGAAAACUGCAUAGAGCUUGGUGAAAAAGCCAAAAAAGAAGACCGCAA
rnacentral:tRNA from 1 species